rnacentral:rRNA from 1 species
CCUACGGGAGGCAGCAGUGGGGAAUCUUAGACAAUGGGCGCAAGCCUGAUCUAGCCAUGCCGCGUGAUCGAUGAAGGCCUUAGGGUUGUAAAGAUCUUUCAGCUGGGAAGAUAAUGACGGUACCAGCAGAAGAAGCCCCGGCUAACUCCGUGCCAGCAGCCGCGGUAAUA